rnacentral:tRNA from 1 species
GCCUCAUUAGCUCAGGGGUUGAGCAGUAGUCUCGUCAACUGAAGGUCGGGAGUUCGAAUCUCUCAUCAGGCU